UUUGUUCAUCCUUAUCACUCCUGCAGCAGCAGCAGCAGCAGCAGCAGCAGCAGCAGCAGCAGCAGCAGCAGCAGCAGCAGCAG
ensembl:miRNA Gm44495 predicted gene, 44495